rnacentral:rRNA from 1 species
GAGUUUGAUUCUGGCUCAGGACAAACGCUGGCGGCGUGCAUAACACAUGCAAGUCGAACGAAAUCUACAUGAUUUAGUGGCGAACGGGUGAGUAACACGUGAGAAACCUGCCGUACACAGAGGGAUAGCCGUUGGAAACGACGAUUAAUACCUCAUGACACCGUGACAUCGCAUGAUGAUGCGGUCAAAGAUUAAUCGGUGUAAGAUGGUCUCGCGCCUGAUUAGCUGGUUGGUGGGGUAACGGCCUACCAAGGCGACGAUCAGUAGCCGAUCUGAGAGGGUGGACGGCCACAUUGGGACUGAGACACGGCCCAAACUCCUACGGGAGGCAGCAGUGGGGAAUUUUGCACAAUGGGGGAAACCCUGAUGCAGCGACGCCGCGUGAACGAAGAAGGCCUUCGGGUUGUAAAGUUCUGUCCUUGGUGAAGAUAAUGACCGUACCAGAGAG